rnacentral:tRNA from 1 species
AUUAGCUCAGCGGGAGAGCGCUUCCCUGACACGGAAGAGGUCACUGGUUCAAUCCCAGUAU